rnacentral:rRNA from 1 species
GGAGUUUGUUGCCUAGAGUGAUGGGCUCCGAAGCUAACGCGAUAAAUCGACCGCCUGGGGAGUACGGCCGCAAGGUUAAAACUCAAAUGAAUUGACGGGGGCCCGCACAAGCGGUGGAGCAUGUGGUUUAAUUCGAUGCAACGCGAAGAACCUUACCUGGUCUUGACAUCCAUAGAAUUCUGCAGAGAUGUGGGAGUGCCUUCGGGAACUAUGAGACAGGUGCUGCAUGGCUGUCGUCAGCUCGUGUUGUGAAAUGUUGGGUUAAGUCCCGCAACGAGCGCAACCCUUAUUCUUUGUUGCCAGCGAUUUGGUCGGGAACUCAAAGGAGACUGCCGUUGAUAAAGCGGAGGAAGGUGGGGACGACGUCAAGUCAUCAUGGCCCUUACGACCAGGGCUACACACGUGCUACAAUGGCGUAUACAAAGGGAAGCGAAGGUGCGAGCUGGAGCGGAUCUCAUAAAGUACGUCUAAGUUCGGAUUGGAGUCUGCAACUCGACUCCAUGAAGUCGGAAUCGCUAGUAAUCGUAGAUCAGAAUGCUACGGUGAAUACGCUCCCGGGCCUUGUACACACCGCCCGUCACACCAUGGGAGUGGGUUGCACCAGAAGUAGAUAGCUUAACCGCGAGGGGGGCGUUUACCACGGUGUGAUUCAUGACUGGGGUGAAGUCGUAACAAGGUAACCA